rnacentral:rRNA from 1 species
UGAGUAAUGCGUGACCAACCUGCCCCAUGCUCCAGAAUAGCUCUUGGAAACGGGUGGUAAUGCUGGAUGCUCCAACUUGACGCAUGUCUUGGUGGGAAAGUGUUUAGUGGCAUGGGAUGGGGUCGCGUCCUAUCAGCUUGUAGGCGGGGUAAUGGCCCACCUAGGCUUCGACGGGUAGCCGGCCUGAGAGGGCGGACGGCCACAUUGGGACUGAGAUACGGCCCAGACUCCUACGGGAGGCAGCAGCG